AUGUCGUCUUCCACCUCCAUCACGAACUCUGGCCUCACCAACAACACCUCCGAACCUCUCACCCGAACGAACUAUGUCUUGUGGCGAGCACAAGCUCGUUCACAGAUCAUGGGCGCCGGGUUGUUUGGGUAUCUUGAUAAAACCAUUGAGCAACCUCCCAAAACCCUCAUGUCCAAGGACAAAGAAGGCAAGGAUCAGAUCUUGCCGAACCCCGCCUAUACUCCCUGGCUUAUCCAAGAUCAGCAAAUAGUCGCAUACCUUCUUAGGAAUCUCUCCAAGGAAGUGCUCGUUCAGGUAGCAUCGCUGGAAACUUCGCACGCGAUCUGGACUGCCCUUGGGAACAUGUUCGCU
rnacentral:rRNA from 1 species